AAAGAUAUUUGUAUGGAUCCUAUGUGUUUUUUGGUGUGUGUAUGUGUAGAUAUUCUUUUUUCUUAAAAUACAUAAUAAACAUCUUCUCAUACCAUUAAAUCUUAUUUUACAAUAUUUUCAGCAGCCUAUACUAUUCCAUCCUAUGCUUUUACCAUAAUGUAGUUAACCAGUUCCCUAUUGUUGGGUACUUAAAUGUUCUUCAGGUUUUUUUGUAAUUAUAAAUAAUGCCGUGAUCAAAAUUCUUUUCCCUAACUCUGAUUGUUUUCAUAAGCAAAUCCUUUUUUUUUUCCCAAAGAGGGUCUUGCUAUAUUGCCCAGGCUGGAGUGCAGUGGCAUGAUCAUAGCUCACUGCAUCCUCGACUUCGUGGACUCAAGCAAUCCUCUGCCUCAGCCUCUCAAGUAGCUGAGACUACAGGCAUAAGCCACUAUGCCCAGAUACUUUUUUCAAUUUUUAUUUUUGUAGAGACAGGAUUUCAACAUGUUGUUCCAGCUGGUGUCGAACUCCUGGCCCCAAGCAGUCUUCCCACCUCAGCCUCCCAAAGUACUGGGAUUAUGAGAAUGAGCCACCGUUCCCAGCUGUGUGCAAAUUCUUAAAAGCAAAAUUGUUGAGUCAAAGGUCAUGACUAUUUUCUACUUGGUAUUCACUGCCAAAUUGCUUACCAGCGUUAUGCCAAUUUACAUUCCUACCAAUGGCAUAUUAGAGGGCAAAUUUCCUAGUGUCCUCACUAAUGUGGGGAGUUAGCUUUUAAAAUCAUUGCCAAGGUGAGAGGUGAAAAAUAUUAACAUUCAACCUCUACACUUAAAUGUAGGUGAUUUACCACAAAUGUUCUUAAUUUAUUUUAUUUUAUUUUGUUUUGUUUUAUUUUGAGACGGAGUCUCGUUCUGUUGCCCUGGCUGGAGUGCAGUGGUAUGAUCUUGGCUCACUGCAACCUCUGCCUCCUGGGUUCAAGCAAUUCUCCUGCAUCGGCCCCUGCUAGUAGCUGGGAUUACAGGCACCUGCCACCAUACUCAGAAAGCUGAAUUACUGUUCUCUAGAAGCAAGGGCAAGGAGCUACGCAAUGAAAGAAAAGAGUGAGGGGCAAGAGAAUUGAGAAGAAGACUGGAAUGGCUGAACUCAGGCUCUUCUGGAUGGUGAACUGCUGAGGGACAUCAUAAGAAAGUUUGAAGUUCUGCAUAAUUGCUGUGACAACCUGCCCUUCGGCUCUGAUCUCCAACCACACUCACACUGGCUGGGCUAUUCCUUUGAAGACAAAGAAAACAGUGCCAGAGGCUGUCCUACUUAAUAAUAAGCCUUUGGCCCUCUCUGCCCAGUAUGCACAUGGUGCCCUCUACUGGCAAAGUGGAGCCACAUCCAGGAAGAGGAUGGAGAAUUGGAUUAUUAAUGGCUUUGGGCAUUCAGCGAAAUCAGACCACAGUACCUGCUAAGGCCUUCCUGAUAGCUUUUUGUUUGCUGAUUAUAAGCAUUAUUUGAGCUAAAAGUAGAAAGCAGUAUGCUUUUAUUUGCAAUUUAAUCAUGCACGUUGCUAUGGUAAUGUAAAAUACUUUACAGUAAUUUGCAUGCACUUUAUCGCAUUAUCGUUUUAGACAUUUUUUAUAUGUAAACAAUAAGUUUAAUUAUUUAUUAAGUUUAACAGUAAUCAGGCUGGUAGCUCACUCCUGUCAUCGCGGCACUUUGGGAGGCUGAGGCGAGAGGAUCAUUUGAGAUCAGGAGUUUGAGACCAGCCUGGGCAACAUAGGGAGAAUCCCCACUUCUUCUCUACAAAAAGUAAAAGAAAAUUAGUUGUGCAUGGUGGUGCACAGCUGUAGUCCCAGCUACUCAGCAGGCUGAGGUGGGAGGAUUGCUUCAGCCCAGAAGGUUGAGGCUGCAAUGAGCCAUUAAUGUGCCACUGCACUCCAGCCUGGGAGACAGAAAAAGAGACAUUGUCUAAAAAAAAAAAAAAAAAAAAAAAGAAAGAAAGAAAGAAAGAGAAACAAAAAACAAACAACAAUCAGAAAAUUUUCUUCAAAAUAAUUUUCUUAGUAUAAUUGCCAACAACCUUAUAUUAAGGGGAUGAACCCAAAUUAUUAAAUAAAAUAAAAACACAUCUGAAAAAAAAAGGCUAUAGAAGAAAGUGCACAAGAACAGGCACUUAUACAUACUUUUCAAAAGGACAUAAACUGCACUUUUCUUGGGUGGAGGGGCGGGGACACAGUCUCUCUCUGUUGCCCAGGCCAGGCUGGAGUGCAGUGGCACGAUCUUGGCUCACUGCAACCUCUGCCUCCUGGGUUCAAGGGAUUCUCCUGCCUCAGCUUCCCGAGUAGCUGGGAUUACAGGCAUGGGCCACCACGCCCCACUAAUUUUUGUAUUUUUAAUAGAGAUGGGGGUCUCACCAUGUUGGCCAGGCUGGUCUCAAACAUCCUACCUCAGGUGAUCCUCCUGCCUCGGCCUCCCAAAGUGCUGGGAUUACAGGUGUGAGCCGCUGCACUCGGCCAAACUGCACUUUUAGGCACUGUUUCUCUUCAGAUUUCCUUUGUCAACAAUAUAUGGCAGGACUUUUGAUGCCCAGAUGCUAACACAGAAAGAUGAUUAAGUCACCUUUAUGCAAAAAAGCUUGUGUCUAAUGCGCAGAAAAUAAGUAGAUAGCAUGUUAUAAAUAAAGGUUUGCAAAGAUAAGUUGUUUGAUACUGAAAA